rnacentral:rRNA from 1 species
CGCCUCUUGCACCCAUAAGAGGUCUAGCCUGCCCAGUGACUUUGUUCAACGGCCGCGGUACACUAACCGUGCAAAGGUAGCAUAAUCACUUGUCUCUUAAAUAGAGACUUGUAUGAACGGCAUCACGAAGAUUUUACUGUCUCCCCUUACCAAUCAGUGAAACUAAUCCCCCUGUGAAAAAGCAGGAAUACAUAUACAAGACGAGAAGACCCUAUGGAGCUUAAAAUUAGUAACACUUGCUUAUUCCCUUUGAAAUUUAACCACUUAGCAUUAUACUUACACAUUUUCGGUUGGGGUGACCCCGGAGAAAAAUCUAACCUCCAUGCUGUAUAUUUAAGAACCUCAGUUCUAAAAAUCAAUAAACUGACACAUUGACCCAAACACUUGAUCAACGAACUAAGUUACCCUAGGGAUAACAGCGCCAUCCACUUCAAGAGUACAUAUCAACAAGUGGGCUUACGACCUCGAUGUUGGAUCAGGAUUCCCCAGUGGUGCAGUCGCUACUAAAGGUUUGUUUGUUCAACAAUUAAAAUCCC